rnacentral:rRNA from 14 species
UGUAUAAUGGGUCAGCGACUUAUUUUCAGUGGCGAGCUUAACCGAAUAGGGGAGGCGUAGCGAAAGCGAGUCUUAAUAGGGCGUCUAGUCGCUGGGAAUAGACCCGAAACCGGGCGAUCUAUCCAUGGGCAGGUUGAAGGUUGGGUAACACUAACUGGAGGACCGAACCGACUACCUUUGAAAAGUUAGCGGAUGACCUGUGGAUCGGAGUGAAAGGCUAAUCAAGCUCGGAGAUAGCUGGUUCUCCUCGAAAGCUAUUUAGGUAGCGCCUCAUGUAUCACUGUAGGGGGUAGAGCACUGUUUCGGCUAGGGGGUCAUCCCGACUUACCAAACCGAUGCAAACUCCGAAUACCUAC